rnacentral:piRNA from 1 species
UAGGAAAGUAAGAUAUGUUUUAUGGUUC